rnacentral:tRNA from 1 species
GCCCCAGUGGCGCAGUGGCAGCGCAGCCGAUUUGUAAUCGGCAGGUCGGUGGGUUCGAAUCCCCCCUGGGGCUCCA